rnacentral:rRNA from 1 species
UAGGCUUUGGGGCACCCGCCGCAAGACAGGUGCUGCAUGGCUGUCGUCAGCUCGUGCCGUGAGGUGUUGGGUUAAGUCCCGCACGAGCGCAACCCUUGUCGUGUGUUGGUCCUAAAAGAUCUCUCACACGAGACCGCCGGUGAUAAGCCGGAGGAAGGUGGGGAUGACGUCAAGUCAGCAUGGCCCUUACGUCCCGGGCUACACACGUGCUACAAUGCGCCGGACAACGAGCUGCAAACUCGCAAGAGUGAGCCAAUCUCUUAAACCGGCGCUCAGUUCGGAUUGAAGGCUGCAACUCGCCUUCAUGAAGUCGGAAUCGCUAGUAACCGCAGAUCAGCUACGCUGCGGUGAAUACGUUCCCGGGCCUUGUACACACCGCCCGUCACGUCACCUGAGUUUAGUGUACCCGAAGCCGCCCGUGCAACCGUAAGGAGCAAGGCGUCUAAGGUGUGCUAGGUAAGGGGGACGAAGUCGUAACAAGGUAGC